rnacentral:rRNA from 1 species
UACGUAGGGUCCGAGCGUUGUCCGGAAUUAUUGGGCGUAAAGGGCUCGUAGGCGGUUCGUCACGUCGGGAGUGAAAACUCGGAGCUUAACUCCGAGCCUGCUUCCGAUACGGGCAGACUAGAGGUAGGCAGGGGAGAGCGGAACUCCUGGUGUAGCGGUGGAAUGCGCAGAUAUCAGGAGGAACACCGGUGGCGAAGGCGGGUCUCCUGGGCCGAUACUGACGCUGAGGAGCGAAAGCGUGGGUAGCAAACAGG